ACUCAAAUGAAUUGACGGGGGCCCGCACAAGCGGAGGAACAUGUGGUUUAAUUCGAUGAUACGCGAGGAACCUUACCCGGGCUCGAACGGUGUUUGAAUGUUUGUGAAAGCAGACAGUCGUAAGACAGACAUCGAGGUGCUGCAUGGUUGUCGUCAGCUCGUGCCGUGAGGUGUCGGCUUAAGUGCCAUAACGAGCGCAACCCUUAUCGAUAGUUACCAUCAGGUGAAGCUGGGGACUCUAUUGAGACUGCCACCGUAAGGUGUGAGGAAGGUGGGGAUGACGUCAAAUCAGCACGGCCCUUACGUCCGGGGCGACACACGUGUUACAAUGGGAGGGACAGAGAGUUGCGGUACAGUGAUGUAUAGCUAAUCUAUAAACCCUCUCCCAGUUCGGAUCGAAGUCUGCAACCCGACUUCGUGAAGCUGGAUUCGCUAGUAAUCGCGCAUCAGCCAUGGCGCGGUGAAUACGUUCCCGGGCCUUGUACACACCGCCCGU
rnacentral:rRNA from 1 species